UGCCUCAUACCUGAACAGGCCUUUGGGAGCCGGGUCGAAAGAUAGUGGAUGCGAUGCCUCCGCGGGACAGUG
rnacentral:ncRNA from 1 species